rnacentral:rRNA from 1 species
UAAGUGCCCCGCCUGGGGAGUACGGCCGCAAGGCUAAAACUCAAAGGAAUUGACGGGGGCCCGCACAAGCGGCGGAGCAUGCGGAUUAAUUUGAUGCAACGCGAAGAACCUUACCAAGGCUUGACAUGUUCUUGAUCGCCGUAGAGAUACGGUUUCCCCUUUGGGGCGGGUUCACAGGUGGUGCAUGGUUGUUGUCAGCUCGUGUCGUGAGAUGUUGGGUUAAGUCCCGCAACGAGCGCAACCCUCGUUCCAUGUUGCCAGCACGUAAUGGUGGGGAAUCAUGGGAGACUGCCGGGGUCAACUCGGAGGAAGGUGAGGAAGA